AAACAUUAUAUUUCUACCAAACAGUUUCAAUAAAGUUCUGUAGAGCAUCCUUCCGCUUUUCUUGGUAAACAGAUAAUCUGUCUGGGUUCAACACAGUUCUGAAGGUUAUUUAGCUCUGUGAGCUGUGGCAGGCAGCCUGCAACUCAAGAAACAUAGCGUGCCGGUGACCAGUGCUCGAUACGGACGCUCUGCAGAGUGAAACACAAUUCACUUGAAUCACUUCAGAGUGCUCCUGUGUGGGAAACCGCAAGACAGGGGUUGGACCAGCUGAAGGCAAUGACAACGCUGGCCUCGCAGUUUGAUGAGUGGGGCAGUCUACCUCUGCCUUAGCCAACUGACAGCAAUCGCACUGACUAUACCAGUGUCUUCCGUUAAUUGUGAGAGGGACUUCUCUGCAAUGAAACGAGUCAAAACAGACUUGAGGAACAGACUGCAGGGAGAACAUCUAGCCGCCUGCAUGCGGCUCUCCAUCAACACCCCCCAUCAAGGAGCUCUAUUACAGGAGGGCAUUGGGAAAGCCCAGAAGAAUAAAGUGCUCUGACAAAGGCUAUAAACUAUGUCAGAACUAGGUUUUUGUCAGAACCUGGAAAGAGAUUUCUAACGCCCUCCUUUUGUGAUGAACAUGAAUUUCUGGGCUCUAAUUCAUGUAAAGUCAAAUGUUCCGCUGUUAAUUAUGUCAAGAUAAACUUUA